rnacentral:rRNA from 1 species
UUCGGAUUGCAGUCUGCAACUCGACUGCAUGAAGCUGGAAUUGCUAGUAAUCGCGGAUCAGCAUGCCGCGGUGAAUACGUUCCCGGGCCUUGUACACACCGCCCGUCACACCAUGGGAGCCGGUAAUACCCGAAGUCAGUAGUCCAACCACGUGAGGACGCUGCCGAAGGUAGGAUUGGCGACUGGGGUGAAGUCGUAACAAGGUAAC